GGGGAAUUUUGGACAAUGGGGGCAACCCUGAUCCAGCCAUGCCGCGUGAGUGAAGAAGGCCUUCGGGUUGUAAAGCUCUUUCGGCCGGGAAAAAAUCGCCUCUCCUAAUACGGGGGGUGGAUGAUGGUACCGGACUAAGAAGCACCGGCUAACUACGUGCCAGCAGCCGCGGUAAUACGUAGGGUGCGAGCGUUAAUCGGAAUUACUGGGCGUAAAGCGUGCGCAGGCGGUUUUUUAAGACAGGCGUGAAAUCCCCGGGCUUAACCUGGGAACUGCGCUUGUGACUGGAAGGCUAGAGUACGGCAGAGGGGGGUGGAAUUCCACGUGUAGCAGUGAAAUGCGUAGAGAUGUGGAGGAACACCGAUGGCGAAGGCAGCCCCCUGGGCCGAUACUGACGCUCAUGCACGAAAGCGUGGGGAGCAAAC
rnacentral:rRNA from 1 species